AGGGGCAGCAUGAACUUAGCUUGCUAAGUUUGAUGGCGACCGGCGCACGGGUGAGUAACACGUAUCCAACCUGCCGAUGACUCGGGGAUAGCCUUUCGAAAGAAAGAUUAAUACCCGAUGGCAUAGUUCUUCCGCAUGGUAGAACUAUUAAAGAAUUUCGGUCAUCGAUGGGGAUGCGUUCCAUUAGGUUGUUGGCGGGGUAACGGCCCACCAAGCCUUCGAUGGAUAGGGGUUCUGAGAGGAAGGUCCCCCACAUUGGAACUGAGACACGGUCCAAACUCCUACGGGAGGCAGCAGUGAGGAAUAUUGGUCAAUGGACGAGAGUCUGAACCAGCCAAGUAGCGUGAAGGAUGACUGCCCUAUGGGUUGUAAACUUCUUUUAUACGGGAAUAAAGUGAGGCACGUGUGCCUUUUUGUAUGUACCGUAUGAAUAAGGAUCGGCUAACUCCGUGCCAGCAGCCGCGGUAAUACGGAGGAUCCGAGCGUUAUCCGGAUUUAUUGGGUUUAAAGGGAGCGUAGGCGGACGCUUAAGUCAGUUGUGAAAGUUUGCGGCUCAACCGUAAAAUUGCAGUUGAUACUGGGUGUCUUGAGUACAGUAGAGGCAGGCGGAAUUCGUGGUGUAGCGGUGAAAUGCUUAGAUAUCACGAAGAACUCCGAUUGCGAAGGCAGCCUGCUGGACUGUAACUGACGCUGAUGCUCGAAAGUGUGGGUAUCAAACAGG
rnacentral:rRNA from 1 species